CCCCCCCCCCCCCCCCUCUCUCUCUCUCUCUCAGAUAAAGACCGGGGCUCCCUGCAGGUCGGAGCGUCUGGCCAAAUACAAUCAGCUGAUGAGGAUUGAGGAGGAGCUCGGAGACAAGGCUAAGUUCGCCGGCAAAGAUUUCCGUCACCCAAAGAUCAACUAAAUCGCUGUCCUGACUUCCUGUCUGACUGACAGCUGAUGACCCUUGAAGCCCCUCCCCCCCUAAAGCUGGGGGGUGAGAGGUCAGAGGUCACAGCGGGUUUCUAGCUAUAAUUCCAUUAAAGAUGUUUUCUAUAUAAAACACAAUAAAGACUGAAGAAGAAAACA